rnacentral:rRNA from 1 species
UACAGAGGUCUCAAGCGUUGUUCGGAUUCAUUGGGCGUAAAGGGCGCGUAGGCGGCGCGAUAAGUUGGGCGUGAAAGGCCCGGGCUCAACCCGGGGACUGCGCUUGAUACUGUCGCGCUGUGAGUCCGGGAGAGGAUGGCGGAAUUCCCAGUGUAGAGGUGAAAUUCGUAGAUAUUGGGAAGAACACCGGUGGCGAAGGCGGCCAUCUGGACCGGCACUGACGCUGAGGCGCGAAAGCGUGGGGAGCAAACAGG